AGGAUGAGCUGCGCUACUUGCACGCGGGGUUUCGGAAUUUUUUGAAUUUCCGGGUUGCCUAACCUUCCUUGUAAGUAACAUUAAUUAACUUGCAAGUUUGUCUGUUUAAAAAUGGUGUACAUUGUCUUCUGAGGUUACUCUGUAAUAAAUGCCCAAUGAAAUUAUUCUAUAGAUUUAUUAAGAAUUUUAUUUUAUAUCAUUGACAUGAGAUGGCACUAUAGGUUAAAGCAGGAGUAGCAUAUGGCUUAUCUGCAUAUCUCCUACAGCUUUUUGAAUGUAAUAUACAGAAAAUCCCCAAUUUAUAUAAGUGAAUAAUUAUGCAAAACCAUAUGUAAAUCAAAACAUGACUUGCAUAUGAUUUCAUAUAUAAGUCACAUCAAACGUUACUGUAUAGGGCAAGGAUGGUAAACCUCUUUAAGGAUAUGUACCAAAAUUGGCUAAAUUUUUGUAAAAUCUAUCUUUCACAUAUCAAUUCAAAUUUUAAACAAUAUAUCAGCUCCAAGUUUUAUGUACCAAAAAAUUUUCCAGCAUACCACUUUGAACAUGCAUGUCAUAUGUUUGCCAUCCCUGAUAUAGGAUAUGCUCUGACAAACAUGGUAUUGUAUUUUGCAGUAUACCCUAUAUCACUGUUUUUCAAUCUUUUUUUAUCUCAUGGCACACUUGAACCUAUAGUUAAACUUCUGCAGCAUACUUAAAUU
rnacentral:lncRNA from 1 species